rnacentral:rRNA from 1 species
UACAGAGGAUGCAAGCGUUAUCCGGAAUCAUUGGGCGUAAAGCGUCUGUAGGUGGCUAGUUAAGUCUGUAUGUAAAAUCUCAGGGCUCAACCCUGAAUCUACUAUAGAAACUGAUUAGCUUGAGAUUGGUAGGGGCAGAGGGAAUUCCCAGUGUAGCGGUGAAAUGCGUAGAUAUUGGGAAGAACACCGAUGGCGAAAGCACUCUGCUGGGCCAAUUCUGACAUUGAGAGACGAAAGCUAGGGGAGCAAAUCGG